rnacentral:lncRNA from 1 species
AUACCUCUGCCUCUCGCCUCCGCUCAGAAAAGCAGGUGCCCUUAAGAGCCAUCUCCACCCCCAUGUAAACUGCACACAGGAAGGGAGAGGCCACUCCGACUGCUCUGAGGUCCAGGUGGCCCUCGCCCCGGCCCACCCGCGCCUCCCAGGCCCAGCCUCACCUGCUGCCGAGAGAGGACAGUGAUCCCCCAAAAGCCGGAGGUGGAGGAGGAGGAGGAAGAGGAGGAA